rnacentral:rRNA from 1 species
UGUAUGGUUAAGUGACUAAGCGUACACGGUGGAUGCCUGGGCAGUCAGAGGCGAUGAAGGACGUACUAACUUGCGAUAAGCGCAGAUAAGGCAGUAAGAGCCGUUUGAGUCUGCGAUUUCCGAAUGGGGAAACCCAACUGCAUAAGCAGUUACUGUUAACUGAAUACAUAGGUUAACAGAGCAAACCGGGGGAACUGAAACAUCUAAGUACCCCGAGGAGAAGAAAUCAACCGAGAUUCCGGUAGUAGCGGCGAGCGAACCUGGAUUAGCCCUUAAGCACUCGGUGAAGUAGGUGAACAAGCUGGAAAGCUUGGCGAUACAGGGUGAUAGCCCCGUAACCGACGCUUCAUCGAGCGUGAAAUCGAGUAGGGCGGGACACGUGAUAUCCUGUCUGAAUAUGGGGGGACCAUCCUCCAAGGCUAAAUACUCCUGACUGACCGAUAGUGAACCAGUACCGUGAGGGAAAGGCGAAAAGAACCCCUGUGAGGGGAGUGAAAUAGAACCUGAAACCGUGUACGUACAAGCAGUAGGAGCACCUUCGUGGUGUGACUGCGUACCUUUUGUAUAAUGGGUCAGCGACUUAUAUUCAGUGGCAAGGUUAACCGUAUAGGGGAGCCGUAGCGAA